UGAGCUCCUAGAAGAAAGGCAUCUCCCUCUAUCCCACAGGCACGGCUCUUCAUAGCCACACUCCAACUGAGUACAGUGCCCAGCACAUGGCUAAUACUCCAUAAAUAUUUACUGCAUGAAUAAAAGAUCGAAAGAGGGGACUCCCGAGUCUCUUCUGGACAUGGUGAUCCUUCCCUCACAGCAUGUACUAUGCUCAGCUCCUCCCUCCCUCUUGGGCCAGGAGUUCUAGAAAAAAAGAUUAAAUUUCUGUGAUGGCUUCAAAUGAGUAAGAGUCACAGAAAUAGUCAGCUAAAAGAAGGCCUAGGUUUGGAAGCUGAAGUGUUGGAAAAGCAUGUGUAGCAAAGAGGGGCCAUCAAAGCAGAGGCCUGUGGGAUUCAGACUUGGGCAAAUAGGAUAGGAGCUUCGAGAGUCCAUAUACAACUCAUGUCUUGGUAACUGGGGCACAGAGAACUGGGAGAAUCAUCCAAGUCUUGCUGUGAAUAAGACGUGGAGCUGGAUGGAACCAUAAUUUCAGCCAACACUGAAUGCUACACUAUGGAGACAUGGAUUCCACAGUUUUUAAAGCAGAUUAUAUUUGGAGCCAUAUAUUCAAUGCUUUGCCGCCGGGGCUUCUAGGUGUCUCAUCAGCAUGGAGAACUCUGUUCUGGGCCUACGGGAACCACAGGUUUCCUUUUGCGGGGAGUAUGGCACAUGUUGCUAGGAAUUUGGCUGGGAACAGGGAGUUUCAGGAAUAUUCUUCAGUCAUGGAGACUUAGCUGUGCUGGUCAUGGGGUGGCCUUCAUCAUGACUGUAAAGAUGUGGGAUAAGCCCAGUCAGGUCCUUGAAAGUGGCUGAGCCCAACUGAAAUGGAUGCAGACAGUAGUUGGAAGAAAGUAACAAGGCUGGCCUUGAAUUCACAGUGACCUGCCAGUCUCUGCCUCCUGUGUGCUGGGAUGAAGAGUCUAUGCCACCAUGUAAACACCUGUCUUCAGGUGCUCACUCAUUAAAGAAGAGGAGAAAGCAGCCCCACAGUCCAAAGUUCUUUAACAAAAAUUAAACAUACGGAGAAAGAAGAAUUGGCUUUAUACGCAAAUUUCCAUUAGUAGCAGCCUAACAAAACAUGAAAAUCUCAUAGGUGUUGAUCAAACAACAGUGGCAUAUCCAUGAGCAGUCCUGAGGAGGAGGAGCUAGAAUUAACGGUGUGGCAGAAGCCAGAUGCCUCAAACCAGAACAAUAUACUCAGCUCACCAACAGAACAACUCACUGUAAUGAGCAUUUGUAAGUAGAGCUGUGUGGACAAAGGGGUGACUGUGUGACAAACCAUGAUACACUGCAGCUUCCA
rnacentral:lncRNA from 1 species